rnacentral:rRNA from 1 species
AAAAACAUGUCUAUAUGAAGUAAAAUAUGAAGUCUAGCCUGCCCACUGAGUUUAUAUUCUUAAAGGGCCGCGGUAUUUUGACCGUGCGAAGGUAGCAUAAUCAUUAGUCUUUUAAUUGGAGGCUGGAAUGAAUGGUUGGACAAAAAAUAAGCUGUCUCAGUUAUAAAAAUUGAAUUUAACUUUUAAGUGAAAAGGCUUAAAUAACUUAGGGGGACGAUAAGACCCUAUAAAGCUUUACGAUUUGUUAAUUAAAUUAAAAAUUGUAAGUUUAAAUUUGAUUUAAUAAGCACUUGUUUCGUUGGGGCGACGAGAAUAUAAUGUAGUAACUGUUCUUUUCUGAUAUCACAAGUAUAAUUGAAAGAAAAUUGAUCCCUUAUUAAGGAUUAAAAAUUUAAGUUACUUUAGGGAUAACAGCGUAAUCUUUUUUGAGAGUCCAUAUCGACAAAAAGGGUUGCGACCUCGAUGUUGAAUUAAGAGAUCCUUGUAGUGCAGCAGCUAUAAAGGAAGGUCUGUUCGACCUUUAAUUUCUUACAUGAUUUGAGUUCAGACCGGCGUAAGCCAGG